rnacentral:rRNA from 1 species
UACGAGGGGCAAGCGUUGUUCGGAAUUACUGGGCGUAAAGGGCGCGUAGGCGGCUUGGCAAGUCAAAGGUGAAAUCCCACGGCUCAACCGUGGAAGUGCAUUCGAAACUACAGGGCUAGAGUCCUGGAGAGGAAGGUGGAAUGCUUGGUGUAGAGGUGAAAUUCGUAGAAUAUCAAGCGGAACACCGGUGGCGAAGGCGGCCUUCUGGACAGUGACUGACGCUGAGACG